GUCCAAAAUGCAGUGAUGUUGUCUUUCCCAAGCACAUAGCUGAUUGCUCCAUGUGGAAAAUAACUGUUGCUGAGUGAUUCUGGUU
ensembl:snoRNA